rnacentral:rRNA from 1 species
AACGAACGCUGGCGGCAGGCCUAACACAUGCAAGUCGAGCGAGGACUUCGGUCCUAGCGGCGGACGGGUGAGUAACGCGUGGGAACGUGCCCUUUGCUACGGAAUAGCCCCGGGAAACUGGGAGUAGUACCGUAUGUGCUCGAGAGAGGAAAGAUUUAUCGGCAAAGGAUCGGCCCGCGUUGGAUUAGGUAGUUGGUGGGGUAAUGGCCUGCCAAGCCGACGAUCCAUAGCUGGUUUGAGAGGAUGAUCCGCCACACUGGGACUGAGACACGGCCCAGACUACUACGGGAGGCAGCAGUGGGGAAUUUUAGCAAAUGGGCGCAAGCCUGAUCUAGCCAUGCCGCGUGAGCGAUGAAGGCCUUAGGGUUGUAAAGCUCUUUCAGGUGGGAAGAUAAUGACUGUACCACCAGAAGAAGCCCCGGCUAACUCCGUGCCAGCCGCCGCGGUAAUAC